rnacentral:rRNA from 1 species
GAUGAACGCUAGCGGCAGGCUUAACACAUGCAAGUCGAGGGGUAGAAGGAGCUUGCUCCUUUGAGACCGGCGCACGGGUGCGUAACGCGUAUGCAAUCUACCUUUUGCAGAGGGAUAGCCCAGAGAAAUUUGGAUUAAUACCUCAUAGUAUGUGAGGAUGGCAUCAUUUUCACAUUAAAGUCACAACGGCAAAGAUGAGCAUGCGUCCCAUUAGCUAGUUGGUAAGGUAACGGCUUACCAAGGCUACGAUGGGUAGGGGUCCUGAGAGGGAGAUCCCCCCACACUGGUACUGAGACACGGACCAGACUCCUACGGGAGGCAGCAGUGAGGAAUAUUGGACAAUGGGCGCAAGCCUGAUCCAGCCAUGCCGCGUGCAGGAUGACGGUCCUAUGGAUUGUAAACUGCUUUUGUACAGGAAGAAACACUACUUCGUGAAGUAGCUUGACGGUACUGUAAGAAUAAGGAUCGGCUAACU